rnacentral:RNase_P_RNA from 1 species
CCAGUCGGCCAGGCAGCCGCACCCGGCAAUGCCGAAAGGCAGCCGGGUGAGGAAAGUCCGGGCUCCACGGAAACACGGUGCCGGAUAACAUCCGGCGGGGGCAACCCCAGGGAAAGUGCCACAGAAAGCAAACCGCCCCGCCUGCUUUCCGGUCCAAAAUGGUUCACGGACCGGAAAGCCGGCGGGGUAAGGGUGAAAGGGUGGGGUAAGAGCCCACCGCGUUUUUGGCAACAGGAACGGCACGGUAAACCCCACCGGGAGCAAGACCGAAUAGGGAUGACGCGGAGCGCAAGCUCCAGCCUGUUUCCGGGCGGAUCAUCCGGGUUGGUUGCUUGAGGCGCUUUGCAAAUUGCGCCCCAGAGGAAUGGCUGUCGCUGCCAGCGCUCCGGCGAUGCGCAGUACAGAACCCGGCUUACAGGCCGGCUGGCGCU